UGUCUUGAUAAUAUUUAAUUGAAUUUAAUUUUUUAUUUAAAAAGUUAAAAUAAUUUAAAAAGACGAGAAGACCCUAUAGAGUUUUAUAUUAAAUUAAAUUAAAAUUAUUUAUAUAAUUAUUAAUAUAGAUUUAAUUUUAGUAUUUUGUUGGGGUGACAAAAAAAUAAAUAAAACUUUUUUUAUUAUUUACAUAAAUAAAUGAAUUUUUGAUCCAAUUUUAUUGAUUAAAAGAAAAAAUUACCUUAGGGAUAACAGCGUAAUUUUUUUUUUUAGUUCUUAUAAAAAAAAAAGUUUGCGACCUCGAUGUUGGAUCAGGACAA
rnacentral:rRNA from 1 species